AUGGCCACCACCGCCGUCCUCAUCCUGCUCGCAAAGCUCCUCCCGAUGCUAGCCACCGCAACCGAUAGCCGCUGGCCCGCCGCUGACUACGGCUUGGCCCUCACGCCCAAUCACUCGUGCGGCGACAUGGGCAGGUACCCUCCAGGCAGGGCGUACGAGGCCAACGUACGCCAUCUCGUCGCCACCAUUCCUGCCAAGGGGAAUGCGGAAUCCUCCAGGUAUGGGGAAUCCUGCAAGUGCUCUUUCGGCAACUUCGCCGGCGAGAGCCCCAACCUGGUCGCGGCGGACGCCUCCUGCUGCUGGCACCCGGACGCCAAGUCGCCGGACUGCGGCGCUUGCAUCGCGCUGGCCUUCCAGGAGGCGCAGAGGCUGUGCCCGUACGAGAGGAGUGCUGAGGCCGUGGUUGACGUCGACGGCGGCACGUGCCAGGCUUACUUCCACGACUACGACAUCAGGGAGCAGUUCGUUCACGUCGGCCCCAGCACACCGCCGGAGCUCCUUCCGGCGCUAGUUGCUGCGGCCGACGGCUGGCCCGCCUCCGACGACAGCAUGACCCUGACGCCCAGUCACAUGUGCGGUGACAUGGGCACGUACGCUCCGGGGAGCGCGUACGAGGCCACCCUGCGCCAUCUCGCCGCCACCAUUGCCGCCAAGCUGAAUGCGAAAUCCAGCGAAAGCGCGGGCGAGAGCCCCAACCGGAUUGUGGUGUCGGCCUACUGCUCCUGGCACCCGGACGCUGAGUCGGCGGACUGCAGCGCAUGCAUCGCGCUGGCCUUCCGGGAGGCGCAGAGGCUGUGCCCGUACCAGAGGCAGGCUGAGGCCGUGGUUGACGGCGGCGCGUGCAAAUUCUACUUCCAUGACUACGACAUCAUGGAGCAGUUCCAGCACGGCGACCCCAGUAGUGAUCUUCACGGGAACACAGUGGACCAGGCCGUGGGCGUUGUUGCGGAAAACGAGGAGAACAGUACAAGAAUGGGAUGGGCAUGUCAUAUCUUGGAGACAACGAUCAUGGAGAUCUUCGCAAACCUUGGGUAG
rnacentral:rRNA from 1 species